AUUGAACGCUGGCGGCAGGCUUAACACAUGCAAGUCGAGCGGGGUGAUGGUGCUUGCACUAUCACUUAGCGGCGGACGGGUGAGUAAUGCUUAGGAAUCUGCCUAUUAGUGGGGGACAACAUCUCGAAAGGGAUGCUAAUACCGCAUACGUCCUACGGGAGAAAGCAGGGGAUCACUUGUGACCUUGCGCUAAUAGAUGUGCCUAAGUCGGAUUAGCUAGUUGGUGGGGUAAAGGCCUACCAAGGCGACGAUCUGUAGCGGGUCUGAGAGGAUGAUCCGCCACACUGGGACGGAGACACGGCCCAGACUCCUACGGGAGGCAGCAGUGGGGAAUAUUGGACAAUGGGGGGAACCCUGAUCCAGCCAUGCCGCGUGUGUGAAGAAGGCCUUAUGGUUGUAAAGCACUCUAAGCGAGGAGGAGGCUCUUUUGGUUAAUACCCAAGAUGAGUGGACGUUACUCGCAGAAUAAGCACCGGCUAACUCUGUGCCAGCAGCCGCCGUAAAAC
rnacentral:rRNA from 1 species